GUCUUUUUGUUUAUAUAAAAAGUUUAACCUGCCCAUUGAAAAAUUUUAAAAGGCUGCGGUAUUUUGACCGUACAAAGGUAGCAUAAUCAUUAGUUUUUUAAUUGAAAACUUGUAUGAAUGGUUGAAUGAAAAAUUAACUUUUUUUUAAAAAAUAUUGAAUUUUACUUUUCAAUAAAAAGGUUGAAAUUUAUUUAAAAGACGAGAAGACCCUAUAGAGUUUUAUAAUUUAUUUUAUUUUUUUUAAUAAGAUUAUUUAAAAUUUUAUAAUUUAAAUUAUUUUGUUGGGGUGAUAAUAAAAUUUAAUUAACUUUUAUUAAUUAUUUACAUUAAUAUAUGACUUUUUGAUCCAAUAUUAUUGAUUAAAAAUUUAAAUUACCUUAGGGAUAACAGCGUAAUUUUUUUUUAAGUUCAUAUUAAUAAAAAGUUUUGCGACCUCGAUGUUGGAUUAAGAUUUAAUUUUAGGGGCAGCAGUUUAAAAUUUAAGUCUGUUCGACUUUUAAAUUCUU
rnacentral:rRNA from 1 species